rnacentral:rRNA from 1 species
UACGUAGGGCGCAAGCGUUGUCCGGAAUUAUUGGGCGUAAAGAGCUCGUAGGCGGUCUGUUACGUCCGCUGUGAAAACCCAGGGCUUAACCCUGGGCUUGCAGUGGAUACGGGUAGACUAGAGGCAGGUAGGGGAGAAUGGAAUUCCCGGUGUAGCGGUGAAAUGCGCAGAUAUCGGGAGGAACACCAAUGGCGAAGGCAGCUCGCUGGGACGGUACUGACGCUGAGACGCGAAAGCGUGGGGAGCAAACAGG